ensembl:snoRNA
UGGAUUGUUGAUGACUAUUGGUGGCAUAUGAGUCAUAGAUGAUGAAUACGCGUCUGGAACUCUGAGGUCUGA